AACUUAGGCCUAUGGUUAGAAUCGAACACUUCGAUUCAGUAACCAAAAGUAGUCCGCUACUUUUGGUUACUAUAAUUUCUCCCUGCGUGUAAGGAUGUACUGUUCAUACUGAAACACACACAUAUAAUAAAUACACACAUACAAACAUACGCAUACACAAUUCUCUGCGUUUGAACUUUUUUUAUCGAUUUUCCGCGAAGAAAAUACUUACUUGCAUAGGUAGGUCCAGGAAUUAUAUUGAAGAAAAGAAGAAGAGGUACCCGGAUGAAGAUGGUCACAUGUUUGAUGACGUAGGCGGCAGAAGUCAAUUAUUGGUAGCCAUGUUGGGCGGACCAAAUCACGUGAGUAAACAUGAGUAAGUCCAGUCUUCAUUUAUUGACCAUCUCACGAAUCUAUUUUUAGCCAGCGGUAAGUAUAACUAACACUGAUUAGACUAACCCUAGUGACUCCUUUUUUUCUUUUUCAGAACUUUUCAAAACUUUGUUUGAUUUUUGUUCCGAUUAGAGGAAAAUGCCCCGGAUUGAGAAGAUCACGUGAUUUUAGGUGAAGCAGACGAAUUUGAAUGAUUGAUGCGAAGAAAUAGCCGUCGUGAAGACCGAAUUGUGAGUAUAGAAUUCUCAUUGCCUUCGACGAAUUAUUGGACAGGGCAAUCAAAAAUGUAUUCUAAUUAUCAGAACGAAAAAUCCAGGAACGAAACGAUUUGAAAGCAACGGGAACUGCGUACUCCAGAGGAUUAUUUCUCAAAUUAGUCAAAUCAUUUAUAUAUGUAUAAGCUUAUAUGUAUCCAGAAUACCAGUAUCACAUUGUCAUUGAGUUCCCAAUUUUUGUUUAUAUCAAAACAUCGAGUUGCGUGCUUAGUGUUAAUUACAUGAUUUCGUUCCGCUCAAUGAUCAGAAAGGUCUCGGUGUAUAGACAGACAGACUUGUUGAAAAGAACAUCGAUUAUUCCCAUCUAUGUAUAGUUUUAGAGGUGAAUCUGAAUAAUAUGCAGCCCGCAACUUAUACAUGACGGAGGUCAAAAGAUUAAGGAUACUAUAUGUAGAUAUAUGUUAUAUGUAGGAUUGCUAGUACCAGCAGAGGUUAAUCAGAUGCUGUAUUCAAUUUGCUAUAGCAGGACUACUGUCUAUCUGAUGAGACAUCACUGUAUAACAAUUCCGUAAACACUCCUCAUAUAACACUCAUCCUUUAUGGUCGACUGGUUAUCUUGCAGUAUUGCAACAUAGCUCGACUUUGUCCUAAUGUCAAUAUUCAUAAUUAACGGCAAAGUAUAGUAUUAUAAACUGAUCAACCAUCGUCAAGUCAUUUAAAGAACGUUAUUUGUAAUGCAAGUAAGUCUAAAUCAUUGUCGACAUUGUAUUGUAAUGCGAGUAAGCUC